GAUGAACGCUGGCGGCGUGCCUAACACAUGCAAGUCGAGCGAAGCGAUUUAACGGAAGUUUUCGGAUGGAAGUUAAAUUGACUGAGCGGGCGACGGGUGAAGUAACGCGUGGGUAACCUGCCUCAUACAGCGGGAUAACAGUUAGAAAUGACUGCUGAUACCGCAUAAGCGCACAGCAUCGCAUGAUGCAGUGUGAAAAACUCCGGUGGUAUGAGAUGGACCCGCGUCUGAUUAGCUGGUUGGUGGGGUAACGGCCCACCAAGGCGACGAUCAGUAGCCGGCCUGAGAGGGUGAACGGCCACAUUGGAACUGAGACACGGUCCAA
rnacentral:rRNA from 1 species